UCGACGGCAGCACAGAGGAGCUUGCUCCUUGGGUGGCGAGUGGCGGACGGGUGAGUAAUGCAUCGGGAUCUACCCUGACGUGGGGGAUAACCUCGGGAAACCGGGACUAAUACCGCAUACGUCCUACGGGAGAAAGCGGGGGACCUUCGGGCCUCGCGCGGCAGGACGAACCGAUGUGCGAUUAGCUAGUUGGCGGGGUAAUGGCCCACCAAGGCGACGAUCGCUAGCUGGUCUGAGAGGAUGAUCAGCCACACUGGGACUGAGACACGGCCCAGACUCCUACGGGAGGCAGCAGUGGGGAAUAUUGGACAAUGGGCGCAAGCCUGAUCCAGCAAUGCCGCGUGUGUGAAGAAGGCCUUCGGGUUGUAAAGCACUUUUAUCAGGAGCGAAAUACCACGGGUUAAUACCCUAUGGGGCUGACGGUACCUGAGGAAUAAGCACCGGCUAACUUCGUGCCAGCAGCCGCGGUAAUACGAAGGGUGCAAGCGUUAAUCGGAAUUACUGGGCGUAAAGGGUGCGUAGGCGGUUACUUAAGUCUGUCGUGAAAUCCCCGGGCUCAACCUGGGAAUGGCGAUGGAUACUGGGUGGCUAGAGUGUGUCAGAGGAUGGUGGAAUUCCCGGUGUAGCGGUGAAAUGCGUAGAGAUCGGGAGGAACAUCAGUGGCGAAGGCGGCCAUCUGGGACAACACUGACGCUGAAGCACGAAAGCGUGGGGAGCAAACAGGAUUAGAUACCCUGGUAGUCCACGCCCUAAACGAUGCGAACUGGAUGUUGGU
rnacentral:rRNA from 1 species